rnacentral:lncRNA from 1 species
AUGCUUUGUCUUGUGGUGGGACAUGCGUUUCUUUGCCAACAGGUUGGCCAGCCUGGUAAGGAGGGCUUUAAACUAGGAAAGACGGGGGAAGGGGAGAGUUAUAGAGACAGGGUAGCUGGCAAAAGACUGCUCAAGUCGGGAUGCCUCCAGCAGGUGCAUGCAGCCAGGGAAGUGCGCACGGGACAUGACUAUGGAGGAUCCUCUUGUAUCCCUCCUGGAAAACCUGCAUGCUUGAUCACCUCUCUGAAAUGCCUGUACACCAAUGCAUGCAGCGUGGGGAACAAACAGGAAGAACUAGAGAUMUGUGUGCGGUCGCAGGACCAUGAUCUCAUUGCAAUUACAGAGACAUGGUGGGAUAGCUCGCAUGACUGCAGUGCUGUCAUGGAUGGCUAYGUGCUUUUUAGGAAAGACAGGCCAGGAAGGCGAGGUGGUGGAGUUGCUCUUUCUGUGAGAGAGCAACUGGAAUGUAUUGAGCUGUGCCUAGGGGUGGAUGAAGAGCGAGUCGAGAGCUUAUGGGUAAGGAUUAAAGGGCAGGCUAGCAUGGGUAACACUGUUGUAGGUGUUUACGACAGGCCACCUGAUCAGGAUGAGGAAGUCGAUGAGGUCUUCUACAAACAGCUGGAAGUAGCCUCACAAUUACAGGCCCUGGUUCUCACGGGGGACUUCAACCAUCCUGACAUCUGCUGGAGAGACAACACAGCUAGGCACAAACAGUCCAGGAGGUUCCUGCAGAGCACUGAGGAUAACUUUUUGACACAGGUGGUGGAAGAGCCAAUGAGGAGAGGUGUGCUGCUGGACCUCGUACUAACAAACAAAGAAGGACUGGUUGGAGAUGUGAAGGUCGGGGGCAGCGUUGGCUGCAGUGACCAUGAGAUGGUGGAGUUCAGGAUCCUGUGGGGAGAAAGCAGGGCAAAAAGUAGGAUCGCAACCCUGGACUUCAGGAGAGCAAACUUUGGCCUCUUCAUGGACCUACUUGGAGGAAUCCCAUGGCUUAGGGCCCUAGAAGGAAGGGGGUCCAAGAGACAAAGGUAUAAAGGUAUAGUAACUCUGUAA